rnacentral:rRNA from 1 species
GACGAACGCUGGCGGCGUGCUUAACACAUGCAAGUCGAGCGGAAAGGCCACUUCGGUGGUACUCGAGCGGCGAACGGGUGAGUAACACGUGAGUAAUCUGCCCCUGGCUUUGGGAUAGCCACCGGAAACGGUGAUUAAUACCGGAUAUGACAGCUUCUCGCAUGAGAUGGUUGUGGAAAGUUUUUCGGCCAGGGAUGUGCUCGCGGCCUAUCAGCUUGAUGGUGAGGUAAUGGCUCACCAUGGCUUCGACGGGUAGCCGGCCUGAGAGGGUGACCGGCCACACUGGGACUGAGACACGGCCCAGACUCCUACGGGAGGCAGCAGUGGGGAAUAUUGGACAAUGGGCGGAAGCCUGAUCCAGCAACGCCGCGUGAGGGAUGACGGCCUUCGGGUUGUAAACCUCUUUCGGUGGGGACGAAGCGCAAGUGACGGUACCCA